UGCAGUCGACGGCAGCGCGAGAGAGCUUGCUCUCUUGGCGGCGAGUGGCGGACGGGUGAGUAAUAUAUCGGAACGUGCCCAGUACGGGGGAUAACUACUCGAAAGAGUGGCUAAUACCGCAUACGCCCUACGGGGGAAAAUCGCAAGACCUCUCACUAUUGGAGCGGCCGAUAUCGGAUUAGCUAGUUGGUGGGGUAAAGGCUCACCAAGGCAACGAUCCGUAGCUGGUUUGAGAGGACGACCAGCCACACUGGGACUGAGACACGGCCCAGACUCCUACGGGAGGCAGCAGUGGGGAAUUUUGGACAAUGGGGGAAACCCUGAUCCAGCCAUCCCGCGUGUAUGAUGAAGGCCCUCGGGUUGUAAAGUACUUUUGGCAGAGAAGAAAAGGUACCUCCUAAUACGAGGUACUGCUGACGGUAUCUGCAGAAUAAGCACCGGCUAACUACGUGCCAGCAGCCGCGGUAAUACGUAGGGUGCAAGCGUUAAUCGGAAUUACUGGGCGUAAAGCGUGUGUAGGCGGUUCGGAAAGAAAGAUGUGAAAUCCCAGGGCUCAACCUUGGAACUGCAUUUUUAACUGCCGAGCUAGAGUAUGUCAGAGGGGGGUAGAAUUCCACGUGUAUCAGUGAAAUGCGUAGAUAUGUGGAGGAAUACCGAUGCGAAGGCGCCCCCUGGGAUAAUACUGACGCUCAACACAGCGUGGGAGCAACAGGAUUAGAUACCUGGUAUCCCGCCCUAAACGAGCAACUACUGUUGGGCC
rnacentral:rRNA from 1 species